rnacentral:rRNA from 1 species
UACGAAGGGGGGCUAGCGUUGCUCGGAAUUACUGGGCGUAAAGCGCACGUAGGCGGCUCUUUAAGUCGGGGGUGAAAUCCUGGAGCUCAACUCCAGAACUGCCUUCGAUACUGGAGAGCUUGAGUUCGGGAGAGGUGAGUGGAACUGCGAGUGUAGAGGUGAAAUUCGUAGAUAUUCGCAAGAACACCAGUGGCGAAGGCGGCUCACUGGCCCGGAUACUGACCGCUGAGGUGCGAA